rnacentral:rRNA from 1 species
AUUGAACGCUGGCGGCAGGCCUAACACAUGCAAGUCGAGCGCGCGGCGGACGGGUGUGUAACGUAUGGGGACUGCCCGAUAGAGGGGGAUAACUACUGGAAACGGUGGCUAAUACCGCAUACUAUCCGCUAACCCAUAUGGGAUUAGCUAGUAGGUGGGGUAAAGGCUUACCAAGGCGACGAUCUCUAGCUGGUCUGAGAGGGUGAUUGGCCACACUGGGACUGAGACACGGUCCAGACUCCUACGGAGGCAGCAGUAGGGAAGAUUUCGCAAUGGGCGCAAGCCUGAUGGAGCAAUGCCGCGUGAGUGAUGAAGGCCUUAGGAUCGUAAAACACUGUUAGCAGGGAGGCGGUACCUAAUGAGAAAGCCACGGCUAACUCCGUGCCAGCAGCCGCGGUAAUUC